rnacentral:rRNA from 1 species
CACGUAGGGUGCGAGCGUUGUCCGGAAUUAUUGGGCGUAAAGAGCUCGUAGGCGGUGUGUCGCGUCGGCCGUGAAAACCUGCAGCUUAACUGUGGGCUUGCGGUCGAUACGGGCUGACUAGAGUUCGGCAGGGGAGACUGGAAUUCCUGGUGUAGCGGUGAAAUGCGCAGAUAUCAGGAGGAGCACCGGUGGCGAAGGCGGGUCUCUGGGCCGAUACUGACGCUGAGGAGCGAAAGCGUGGGGAGCGAACAGG